GGGGUAGAGGAAAAGCAAAAGGGAGUGGAGUGCGCGGUAGUCCGGGCGGCCAUUGUAGGUACCUUGUGCGGGACUAAGCGUAAGCGCGAUUCGUAGUGUCAUACGACACGCAGGUAGAGAAAUCCAGGUGGAUCAACGGUUAUCUCCGUAACAAGGUGCUGCGUGUAAAGCUCGGGAUACGCACCGAGACUACGGCCCAAUGGCUGAGACCGACAAGUUGAAUAUCGACAACAUCAUAGCUCGGCUCUUGGAAGUACGAGGAGCUAGGCCAGGCAAAAAUGUUCAGUUGACAGAAGUGGAGAUCAGAGGACUAUGUCUAAAGUCACGUGAAAUUUUUCUAUCACAACCCAUCCUGUUAGAACUCGAAGCACCAUUGAAAAUAUGUGGUGAUAUUCAUGGCCAAUACUAUGACCUGUUGCGAUUAUUCGAAUAUGGUGGUUUCCCACCCGAAAGCAACUAUCUCUUCCUAGGGGAUUAUGUUGACAGAGGAAAACAAUCAUUAGAGACUAUUUGUCUCCUUCUUGCCUAUAAGAUCAAAUAUCCUGAAAAUUUUUUCUUGUUAAGAGGAAAUCACGAAUGUGCGUCCAUUAAUAGGAUAUAUGGGUUUUAUGAUGAAUGUAAACGUCGUUACAACAUUAAACUAUGGAAAACUUUUACCGAUUGCUUCAAUUGCCUGCCUGUCGCUGCAAUAGUGGACGAAAAAAUAUUCUGCUGCCAUGGAGGCUUAAGUCCGGAUCUGCAGAGUAUGGAGCAGAUCAGGCGUAUUAUGCGACCAACUGAUGUACCUGAUCAGGGACUGCUUUGUGAUUUGUUAUGGUCUGAUCCUGAUAAGGAUACCAUGGGCUGGGGCGAAAAUGAUCGUGGUGUAUCAUUCACGUUUGGUGCAGAAGUCGUUGCUAAAUUUUUACAUAAACAUGACUUUGAUCUUAUAUGCCGUGCCCAUCAGGUAGUGGAAGAUGGCUACGAAUUCUUUGCCAAGCGACAGUUGGUAACACUAUUCUCUGCUCCAAAUUACUGUGGCGAAUUCGACAACGCAGGUGCCAUGAUGUCAGUAGAUGAGACGCUUAUGUGCAGUUUCCAAAUCUUGAAACCAGCUGACAAGAGGAAAUUCACAUAUGGCGGUUUGAAUGCAGGACGGCCCGUAACGCCACCACGGGGCGCGAACAAUAAGAACAAGAAGAAGUGAAGCCCUUAGACUUAUCUUUCGAAUGCGACACUUAGGAUCUUACGACCGCUAUCCCCGAUCCAUCAUCCGUUAUGACGUUAAGUUCUUGUAAGAAAGGGAGAGACAGAGCGAGAGAGAAAAAAAGUUAUAAUAAUUAUUAUUAUUAUCAAUAUUAUUAUAAUUAUUAUUAUUAUUUUCAAUUGACUACGAAGCCUUGCAAAGAUAAGUCACGGAGUAUCGUAAAUGUACGAAUCAGAAAAAUCUUAAAGGGCGUUGCUUUUCACAGAGAUCGUUGUCGAAAGUAGUAAAUGAUAGCGUAUGUUUGUAGCUAAAUGUGUUAUUGUGUAAAAACAAAUUAUGGUAGUGAUAAAAUUCGAUUUAUCGACGAUAAAGUUAAAACUGAUGUGGCUGCCGUGACAUUCUUAACAGUAAUUACAAAAAGUUAGAAGAAACGGACAGUCAUACUUACUGUAAAUCGUCUUUUGCAUUCAUGAAUCAUAAUAUCCGUAUCUUUUAGUUUGUUUGCCAUUUGAAUUUAUUUAUCGGUGUUGUCAGUAUCAUUUGCCAAGAUCUCUUUCGACCACUUCGCGCUGUGACGAAAAUCAACACGAUAAUUAGGGCAAUGUCACACACACACAUAUGCAGACCGCAUACACAUGCACACACGUAUAUAACGAUUUCGCUUCAUUUCAUUAUGUAAGUACGCCGUUAACGAAGAUAUCGAUACACAAGUAACUAGCAAUUGCCUAGACAUAAUUCUUUAAAGUAUAAUAGAUAUUUAUAGCGCUUGAUAUACUUCUAUAAGUUGCACAAAUUUGUAAACGAUAUCCAUUACGUCAUACAUACUUUUAUAAAUAUACAUUUAUAUGAAUCGUGAAAUGUAGAGAGCGGGUGAGAGAACGAGGAAGAGAGAGUGAGAGAGAGAGAGAGCGCAAAAGACAGAUUUCAUUCUAAAAGCAAAUGUUGGAACAUUUGACAAGUCGUAAUUACUACUCAUAUACAUGUUAUCAUUUUUGCCUCUCGUGGGACGAACGGAAAAGCACUUGUAUUGCGAUUAUUACGACUGGCAAGGCUUCUCUGAAAGAAACAUCUUAAUGACAUUAUAUAAUCUAGGAGGGUAUUAAUCGUGCGACUAACGGACACACAUAAAUACGCGCGAGCGCACGCAUCGCAAAGCGAUCGAUGUCACCGUAAUAUAGGCGACUAAUUCCAAGAUAAUAAGAAAAAAAGAGGAGAAAGUGUGUCCUCUUGCAGCAUGGGUUUCAUUCUUGCUACCGGGACAGUCUCUAAUCAUGGGACGUAUCAUCAUCCUCAUUAUAAUUCACAUUAUCAUUUACCAUGAUCACUCUUUUUCAUUUAGUUUUCCUUGAUCUCCCUUCAUGGUCAGCACAGUUCUACUAGCACAAUGCACAUCACAUGAAGCACAUAUCCAUCCUCGAUGAUACGAAAGCAAAAAGGAACAAACAUCUGUGUGAAAAUCACGACUAGAUAUAAACAUCUAGCAUCCCAGCGAGUGAUCUUCGAACAUGCGACCCAGGGGACGGUGAUUCUACUUGUUAUCUAUCCUAGUGCGAACAGCCUUUAGCGCCAUUUUAUCCAUUACGAAUAUCAUAUGUAUGUAAGUGUGUCGUGUAUGCUACCGGUACUGUUCGAUGCUUAGAAUAACGAAUAUGACGUCCAUAACGUUCAUAUCUUUUGCGUCUAUACAAGCAUUCAUUCGUAAGAAGAUACAUCUACACAUAAUUUCAAACUUUGCUAUUGACUGUAUUGUAUUUAGAGACACAAUUUUAUCUGCGUCAUUUAGAAAGGCGUAUAUGUAUAAGGGCUAAACUGAUAACACCAAUCGUUAUCUUGUUAGCACUUCGAUCACCACUCGUGAUCCUCGUGAGAAGUGCCAAUUUAAUUUGUAAUUUCAUCUUCGUCAUCCAAGAUGAAAUAAAAAUGUGUUUAGGAAAAGGGAAAACAGAAGAGGAAAGCACAAGAUGAAAU